rnacentral:misc_RNA from 1 species
AUCCUAUAGCUCUCCUAGAGGUAACGGAAAAUUCUUUUCUUUAAUUCAUUAUUCUUUCUUCCAUGAUCACGAUUGUUAACUUUGUACCAUCGAUUGUUAACUUUGUAAUGAUUCGAUUUAUUAGCUCAUAAUAAUCUUGUUUAAUUGAUGAUUGAUUGAUAAGGGUUUUCUUGCAGAGUUAGUUUGAAAAUGAAAUUGAAUGCUAUUUUUUUUUAAUUUUAUGAGGAAAUUAGGACCCAUGCUUAUUAUUUUGUUUCAUUUUUAUUUUUAUUUUCAAAAAUAAUCAAAAUUUCUACCAUGUAAUUUUGUAAUCCUUAUGGGUGUAUAAUUCCUCUCUGUCUCUCUUUCUUAUGUUAGACCAAUUCUUUCAUGGUUUAAAGUGGGCAAAGGAUUCAUUCCUUGCUUUAGAGUUUUGGAGUUGACUUUUUAAUGUGGUCUUCAUUUAUAAUUGGUUUGAGCUUGACAGCAAAAUUGGGUGAUUUUAAUGUGUUGUUAUGGUAUUUGAAGCUAGAAUUUCAUAUUUUAGAAUUGACUGUCAUAGAAAAGGAUAAUAGAAUAAUUAAUUUUUUGCUUUGCCACCUCUUACACCUUUGAGGCUUUUACCCUUGUUGAUGAUUUAUUCUUUAUGAUGGACUUUUUCUUUUCUAUUCGAUUUUAUUCAAGGAUCCGGAGAACUCAUAGAUUUUUUUUUUUAAAUUUUUUUAUGGGGUUUAUCCUAUAGCAUUUGUGCAUCUUUCAUAACUUUAGCAUUUUCAUAGCAUUGUAAUUAACAUAUCCACUUUGUGAAAUGUAAUCUUCAUUUUGCAUUUUUAACUUUGUUUUUAACCCAAAAAAUGAUUGGGAAAAUUAAUGUAAUUAACAGUAAUUAGACUAGAUAAUAGAUUCCCUUUCGUAAGUAAUCACUAUGGGCAAAUUCAAGAAAUUUAGGAGAAUAAUUGUGUGGUGAGG